rnacentral:rRNA from 1 species
AUUGAACGCUGGCGGCAGGCCUAACACAUGCAAGUCGAACGGUAACAGGAAGAAGCUUGCUUCUUUGCUGACGAGUGGCGGACGGGUGAGUAAUGUCUGGGAAACUGCCUGAUGGAGGGGGAUAACUACUGGAAACGGUAGCUAAUACCGCAUAACGUCGCAAGACCAAAGAGGGGGACCUUCGGGCCUCUUGCCAUCGGAUGUGCCCAGAUGGGAUUAGCUAGUAGGUGGGGUAACGGCUCACCUAGGCGACGAUCCCUAGCUGGUCUGGGAGGAUGACCAGCCACACUGGAACUGAGACACGGUCCAGACUCCUACGGGAGGCAGCAGUGGGAAAUAUUGCACAAAGGGCGCAAGCCUGAUGCAGCCAUGCCGCGUGUAUGAAGAAGGCCUUCGGGUUGUAAAGUACUUUCAGCGGGGAGGAAGGGAGUAAAGUUAAUACCUUUGCUCAUUGACGUUACCCGCAGAAGAAGCACCGGCUAACUCCGUG